GAAACGAAAUAUAAGAUUUUGGAGACGAAAUGAUAUUUUGAACUGUGUGUGUUUUAUUGUAAUACUUCUUUUGCUGCAAGGUAUUUCAACUCUGGGACAUCUUCGGGGUAUUUCUCCGAGGUGGGAUCCCGUCGAGAUACGUAAUCAUCUAUUUCUGUGCCAAACAAUGGCACUAGCGUCAAUGUCGAACAUUACUGGAUGAAGAUGGGAUGGAAUGGUGACAUUUCAGGUUCUCACGUCGGCGAGUAUGAAGAUGGCUGUCUUCUGAGAUGCCUUUCCGUGUAGUCCGGUAGAAACUGGUCGACUUCUUUUUGAGAUGUUUACUGCCUCGCCAUCAGGACACAGGACAAGACACAAGGACAACAUACAUUAUUAUAUAAGACUUUUGGCCUGAAAGCUGUACUCAGGCAACAUGGGGAUUAGCAGUCGCUUCCGCUAUCCUUUGGAGUCCGUAACUUCCGUGUUUUUCUUUCAGGAUGUGCAGCGAGCAACAAGGAAGUAGCAUUAUUACAGUCUGUAAUCGUAAGCUCUCAAAAUCAGCAAAGUAUUUCCUUUGUUCUCAGAGGUUUUCUAUACAGUCUGCCACUAUAAUACAACACAAGUGUUUUCCUUACACAACACUAAGCCUAUUCGAGAAUUUUGUCUUAUUAACUCUGUGGUAGAGUUCUUGAGCAGCUAAAAGUCGCUAAGUUGUUGGAAUACAUUUUCCGUUGUUUAUGUAAGACGAAAAUUCGUUCUCAUAUUCACAAGAGACCACCACCUCGACCUGCUUAAAGCCAAAUGAAUUUGGUCCACAUCCUUAAGCCAUAUUUCUAUAAAAUCCCUUUUUAGGUAUUCUUCACACCUUAUGGUCCCGUUCAUGUCUGCCUGUCACGUUCUUUGCAGAAAUAACGGAAUCUACAACAUAAGGUCAUUGUUGAGGCACACUGUCGAUUUUCUUUGCUUUCUUCAGGUAAAUAAAGAGCUAGUCCACUGAAA